rnacentral:rRNA from 2 species
CGAACUCUGGUAUUGAUUGGUGCUUGCAUCAUGAUUUACAUUUGAGUGAGUGGCGAACUGGUGAGUAACACGUGGGAAACCUGCCCAGAAGCGGGGGAUAACACCUGGAAACAGAUGCUAAUACCGCAUAACAACUUGGACCGCAUGGUCCGAGCUUGAAAGAUGGCUUCGGCUAUCACUUUUGGAUGGUCCCGCGGCGUAUUAGCUAGAUGGUGGGGUAACGGCUCACCAUGGCAAUGAUACGUAGCCGACCUGAGAGGGUAAUCGGCCACAUUGGGACUGAGACACGGCCCAAACUCCUACGGGAGGCAGCAGUAGGGAAUCUUCCACAAUGGACGAAAGUCUGAUGGAGCAACGCCGCGUGAGUGAAGAAGGGUUUCGGCUCGUAAAACUCUGUUGUUAAAGAAGAACAUAUCUGAGAGUAACUGUUCAGGUAUUGACGGUAUUUAACCAGAAAGCCACGGCUAACUACGUGCCAGCAGCCGCGGUAAUACGUAGGUGGCAAGCGUUGUCCGGAUUUAUUGGGCGUAAAGCGAGCGCAGGCGGUUUUUUAAGUCUGAUGUGAAAGCCUUCGGCUCAACCGAAGAAGUGCAUCGGAAACUGGGAAACUUGAGUGCAGAAGAGGACAGUGGAACUCCAUGUGUAGCGGUGAAAUGCGUAGAUAUAUGGAAGAACACCAGUGGCGAAAGCGGCUGUCUGGUCUGUAACUGACGCUGAGGCUCGAAAGUAUGGGUAGCAAACAGGAUUAGAUACCCUGGUAGUCCAUACCGUAAACGAUGAAUGCUAAGUG